rnacentral:rRNA from 1 species
UGGGGAAUCUUCCGCAAUGGACGAAAGUCUGACGGAGCAACGCCGCGUGAGUGAAGAAGGCCUUCGGGUUGUAAAGCUCUGUUAUUCGGGAAGAACGAUUCGUUUGUGAACAAUGAACGGAAGUGACGGUACCGAAAGAGAAAGCCACGGCUAACUACGUGCCAGCAGCCGCGGUAAUACGUAGGUGGCAAGCGUUGUCCGGAAUUAUUGGGCGUAAAGAGCGCGUAGGCGGUAUGAUAAGUCUGUCUUAGAAGUGCGGGGCUUAACACCGGGAGGGGACAGAGACUGUCAUACUAGAGUCACGGAGAGGAAAGAGGAAUUCCUAGUGUGGCGGUGAAAUGCGUAGAGAUUAGGAAGAACACCGGUGGCGAAGGCGGCUUUCUGGACGAGCACUGACGCUGAGGCGCGAAAGCGUGGGGAGCGAACAGG